rnacentral:rRNA from 1 species
GGACUACCAGGGUUUCUAAUCCCGUUCGCUCCCCUGGCUUUCGCGUCUCAGCGUCAGGUGGGGUCCAGGAGCCCGCUUUCGCCACGGGCGUUCCUUCCGAUCUCAACGCAUUUCACCGCUCCACCGGAAGUUCCGGCUCCCCCUACCCCCCUCCAGGCCGGUCGUAUCGGUGCCACUUCCCCGGUUAAGCCGGGGGCUUUCAACAUCCGACGUGCCGGCCCGCCUACACGCGCUUUAAGCCCAGUGAUUCCGAAUAACGUUCGCACGGUUCGUCUUACCGCGGCUGCUGGCAC